rnacentral:rRNA from 1 species
CGUCUAUAUACGUAUAGCAUAUCAAUAAGCGGAGGAAAAGAAACUAACAAGGAUUCCCCUAGUAACGGCGAGUGAAGCGGGAAGAGCUCAAAUUUGAAAUCUUCAAGGUUUUACCUUGACGAAUUGUAGUUUAAAGAAGUGUUUUCGGUUAGAGGAGUAGUAAAAGUUCUUUGGAAUAGGACAUCAUAGAGGGUGAGAAUCCCGUAUUUGACUCAUUCUUUCUAGCUUUGUGAUACACUUUCAACGAGUCGGAUUGUUUGGGAAUGCAGUCCAAAAUGGGUGGUAAAUUUCAUCUAAAGCUAAAUAUUGGCGAGAGACCGAUAGCGAACAAGUACCGUGAGGGAAAGAUGAAAAGAACUUUGAAAAGAGAGUUAAACAGUACGUGAAAUUGUCAAAAGGGAAGCGUUUGACACCAGUGUUGUUUUUCCGAAAAUCAAUUACAAAUGGUUCAUGUUUGAAGUAGUUAUGACUUCAUCGGCUUGCUGCCUUAGUUUAUGGUACUUUCUUUGAUGCACUUUUCGGUUAACAAGUCAACAUCAAUUUCUUUUGUUGUAAAAGGGUAUGAGGAAGGUGGCUUUCUUUUCGGAGAAAGUGUUUAUAGCCUUGUACCUCUGCAAUCGGAGAGAUUGAGGUCUGCAGCGUAGAUCCUUCGGGGUUAGAUACAUUUGUGCUAAGUUAUAGCUUUUCAUAGACAACUUGUUGACUAUGUUAAGUCUUGUAGCUUACUCGCUUAUGCUAUUUUACCUACGCUUAGGAUGUUGACGCGCGUGUGUGCGUG